rnacentral:sRNA from 1 species
UGGUAGAUGCACCCUGGUUGAGGCUCCGGACUAAAUAUCCGGGGCAUUUUUUU